rnacentral:rRNA from 1 species
GAUGAACGCUGGCGGCGUGCCUAAUACAUGCAAGUCGAGCGAACAGAUGAGAAGCUUGCUUCUCUGAUGUUAGCGGCGGACGGGUGAGUAACACGUGGGUAACCUACCUAUAAGACUGGGAUAACUCCGGGAAACCGGGGCUAAUACCGGAUAAUAUUUUGAACCGCAUGUUCAAUAGUGAAAGACGGUUUCGGCUGUCACUUAUAGAUGGACCCGCGCCGUAUUAGCUAGUUGGUAAAGUAACGGCUUACCAAGGCGACGAUACGUAGCCGACCUGAGAGGGUGAGCGGCCACGCUGGAACUGAGACACGGUCCAGACUCCUACGGGAGUCAGCAGUAGGGAAUCUUCCGCAAUGGGCGAAAGCCUGACGGAGCAACGCCGCGUGAGUGAUGAAGGUCUUCGGAUCGUAAAACUCUGUUGUUAGGGAAGAACAAAUUUGUUAGUAACUGAACAAGUCUUGACGGUACCUAACCAGAAAGCCACGGCUAACUACGUGCCAGCCGCCGCAGUAA